AAAGUCAAAGAAAAGAAGAAGAAGAAACAAUGGCUGGUGACCAAGUGCAGUUCCAUCAGAUCCUUAAUUCCCUCCUCUCCGUGGAUAAUGAUAUCCGGCAACAGGCAGAGGAGGCAUACAAUAAUAUGCCCAUCGGGGAUAAGAUCACACACCUACUGCUGGCCAUCUCCACUCCUACCUUGGCAGAAGAAGCCCGACUGAUGGCUGCUGUGGUGCUGCGAAGACUCUUCUCAUCUGAGUUUCAGGAAUUUUAUCCCCUUCUUCCACCGGAACAUCAAGCGCAGCUAAAGCAGCAGAUAGUAACCCUCGUGCAGCAGGAUGAAUCCCCCAACAUGCGUCGAAAGAUUUGCGAUGUAGCAGCAGAAGUAGCCCGGAAUCUUAUUGACGAUGAUGGCAACAACCAAUGGCCGGAAUUCCUGAGUUUUCUCUUUCAAUGCGCCAGCACAACUAACUCCACCCUCCACGAAUCAGCCCUUCAAAUCUUCGCAUCCGUUCCGGGAAUUUUUGGGAAUCAGCAAAAUCAGUACUUGGAGGUUAUCAAGCAAAUGCUGACCAAGUCAAUGAGCCGCGAGGCUACUCCUGAGAUCCGUUUCCAAGCCGUCCGCGCGGUAGGAGCUUUCAUUCUGGCACAUGAGAAGGAGAUGAAUAUCCAGAAGAGCUUCAUCGACAUCCUGCCGAGGAUGAUCUUCAUUAUUGCCGAAAGCAUUGAGCAGCAGGAUGAUCAGACGCUCAUUAAACUUCUUAUUGAUCUGACAGAAUCAUGUCCAAAAUACCUCAAAGCACAGAUUGAAGCUAUUUUCGAGAUGUGCAUGAAGGUGUUCAAGAGUCAGGAUGUUGAUGAUGCAUGGAGGCACAUGGCACUUGAGGUGAUGGUUUCACUGUCUGAGAAUGCCUCAGCCACAGUACGGAAGCGCUGCGAUAAGUUCAUCAUUGCCCUCAUCCCGUUGGUGUUGCAAAUGAUGACUGAUCUGGAGGAUGAUGACUCGUGGUCUGUGUCCGAAGUCACUGAAGAAGACAACAGUGACAACAACAUUAUUGCCGAAUCGGCUCUGGAUCGUCUAGCAUGUGGUCUGGGUGGAAAGACAGUUCUGCCGCAAAUCAUCGAUAAUCUCCCCACAAUGCUCAACCAUGGAGAUUGGAAGCAACGUCAUGGGGCAUUGAUGGCCAUCUCAGCAGUUGGUGAGGGGUGUCACAAACAAAUGGAAUCUAUUCUGGAGAACAUUAUGAGUGGUGUGCUUGUCUACCUGCGUGACCCACAUCCACGUGUUCGCUAUGCUGCCUGCAAUGCCAUUGGUCAGAUGUCCACUGACUUUGCACCGGUGUUCGAGAAGAAGUUCCACGAGCAAGUUGUCCCUGGGCUUCUUAGUCUCUUGGAUGAUGUGGAGAAUCCGCGUGUCCAAGCACACGCUGGAGCUGCCCUUGUGAACUUCAGCGAGGACUGCCCCAAAGUUAUUCUCACGCGCUACCUCGAAGCUAUUAUGACGAAGCUUGAAUUCAUUCUCAAGAUGAAGUUUAAGGAGUUCUGCGAGAAGGGAACUAAACUCGUCCUUGAACAGGUCGUGACAACAAUUGCCUCAGUUGCUGACACAGCUGGCAAGGAAUUCAUCACAUACUACGAUCGUCUCGUGCCAUGCCUCAAGUACAUAAUCCAGAAUGGCAAGACAGAUGACAUGAAGAUGCUUCGUGGGAAGACAAUUGAAUGCGUGAGUCUUAUUGGUUUGGCUGUGGGCCCCGAAAAGUUUGUACCCGAUGCAAGUGACGUAAUGGAUAUGCUACUGAAGACACACACUGAGAAUGAGCUUCCGGACGAUGAUCCACAGACGGCAUACCUCAUUUCCGCCUGGGCGAGAAUCUGUAAAAUUCUGGGCAAGCAAUUUGCACAGUAUUUACCCCUUGUGAUGGGUCCCGUGAUGCGUACGGCAUCAAUAAAGCCCGAAGUGGCCCUUCUGGACAAUGAGGAGAUUCAAGAUAUUGAGGGCGAUGCAGACUGGCAAUUUGUGAAUCUCGGAGAGCAGCAUAACUUUGGCAUUCGCACGGCUGGACUAGAAGACAAAGCAUCAGCCUGUGAAAUGCUUGUUUGCUAUGCACGUGAACUAAAGGAAGACUUUGCCGACUAUGCUGAGGAGGUUGUUCGUCUUAUGGUACCAAUGCUGAAAUUCUACUUCCAUGACGGUGUCCGUACAGCUGCAGCGGAAUCCCUUCCCUAUUUGCUGGAUUGUGCAAAAAUUAAGGGAGUUCAGUACCUUCAGGGGAUGUGGCAGUACAUCUGCCCCGAUCUCCUCAAGGCGAUUGAUUCAGAACCCGAAGCGGAAGUUGUGCCCGAAUUGCUGCAUUCAUUUGCAAAGUGCAUCGAGACAUUGGGACCGAAUUGUCUGUCCAAUGAUGCCCUAGAGCAAGUAUUGAAGUUGAUUAAUAAAUUCAUGGAGGAGCACUUCCAGAAGGCAGAAAAACGUGCUCAAGCACGGAAAGAGGAGGACUACGAUGAUGGAGUUGAGGAACAAUUGGCCGAGGAGGAUAACAUCGAUAUUUACUUACUUUCGCGCCUAGCCGAUAUUAUCCAUGCGCUUUUCCUCACCUACAAAGCUAACUUUAUUCCCUACUUCAGCCAAUUGAUUCCGUAUUUUGUCAAAUUGCUCGAUCCAUCUCGUCCGUGGUCUGAUCGGCAGUGGGGACUAUGUAUUUUUGAUGAUUUAAUUGAGUACACUGGGCCUAUGUGCGCUGAAUAUCAGCACUUCUUCUUGGAACCUAUGAUUCAGUACGUGUCAGAUAAAAGGCCAGAAGUACGUCAGGCUGCUGCUUACGGGUGUGGUGUUAUAGGUCAGUGCGCUGGUGAGCAGUUUGCAAUGGCAUGCGCUCAGAUGAUUCCGCGAUUGGUGGAAGUAAUCAACAGUCCCGGAAGUCGAGAUCCAGAAAAUUCUAGCUCCACUGAGAAUGCCAUCUCCGCCGUCACCAAGAUCCUCAAAUACAACAACACAGCCUUGACAAAUGUUGAUGAUAUCAUAAAUUUGUGGUUCUCAUGGCUGCCGGUGAUUGAGGAGGAAGAUGAGGCCCCGCACGUGUAUGGGUACCUGUGCGAUUUGAUUCAAGCGAAUCAUCCUGUCAUUCUUGGUGUCAACAAUGCACACCUCCCGAGGAUUUUAUCAAUAAUUUCGGAAGUAUUUGUGCGUGAUCUUAUUCCGGUACAGCAUCCUGAUGCAACAAGAUUGCUGGGCAUUGUGAAGCAACUCGAGCAAAAUCCAGAAGUCUUUCAAGCAUGCAUUAAUGUUCUAACGCCCGAACAGAAGCACUCCCUUGAGCAAGCAUUCAGGGAUAUGACGACGACUUCUCAAUGAGAAUCCAUCUUAUAGUGGCAUCAUGGCUCCCACAAUAAGUGUGGCAAAUGAGAGGAAGACAAAGUGCAGAAAAUCACAGAGAAGAAUUCAUCACACAAAUGCAUCUUUAGUAUCAGUUAUCAGUUAUGGUGGACAAACCACAUUGAGACACUCAUGCUGGAAUCAACGAUCUGCACGUUCGCCACUUGUGAAGAAAUUACUUGAGGGUGAUAAUAGAAGGAAACAAGUGCACAGGGAUUUUAAUGAAGAUGCCCAAAGUGAAGCAGAUGCCAUGGAGACCCAAAGAAGACACUCAACAAGUUCCAUGAGAGACAGGGACACAAGCAUCAGUGAUUGCUCAUCAACUGAACAUUCCUUGGAUUUAUCCCGGACACAGUUUUACCGCUGCGAUUCCCCAAACAUGUCGGAUUCUAAUGAUGAUGGAUACAAUGAUGAUAAAUCAGACAUGUUCUAUUCAUCAAUGAGGGAAAUGUGGCCUGUAAUGAACAGAAAAUACAAUGACAGUCAAAGAAAUGGACUCUUAGAUAUUGCCAUCAAGACGAUAAAAUUAAUUCGACGCAAUCAACUUCUUCAGGCUAAAUUAACUCAACUGCAAGCCGAAACGCGCGCAUUUAUUGUCUCCGUUAUGGCAAAUCCGGAAAAUAGGAAAGCAGCUCAGUCUAUUUCCAAUCCAACCACACCUGUGCCAGCCCUGGCAUAUCCUUCAGUCGAUGAACCAUUAGAAUCAUAAAUAUUAUUAAUGUUGAAAAAUGAAUGUAAAAACUCGUGUAUUUUGGUUCCAAUUUUAACUUGAUAACAAUUAGAUUUAAGUUACAUGUGCACAAAAUAUUCUCUGCCUCCCAAAAAAAUAGACAUAGUAUUUAAUUAAAACGUAAGUUUUAAUGCAAAAGAUAGUGCUCGGAUAGUGCAGAUUAAAUACAUUAGACAUUUAACAUGUUAAUGACAAUCUCUCAUUAGGCUUAAAUUAGAAUUUCAUAAAAAUUGAUAUGAAAAAAUGUAUUUUCAUCGAAUUUUAUUUGAAAUUCUGCUUGACUGUAUUUGUCACAUUAUUGCGUAUUUUGCACAUUUAAAUUAUCUAAAAUAUUUUUACGAAUUUUCUGGUUAAUUCAUAUUUAUAUGUAUAAUGGUCAUUUGUAAAAUGUAAGUAGAACAGAAGAUUCUUUAAUUUGUCAGCUAAUAGCUAUUGUCACGUUAUAAUGUGCAAUUAGGCAUAUCAAAUAGUAUGUUAAGGAGCAAUAAAAUUAUUUGAUCUUAAA